UACGAAGGGGGCUAGCGUUGCUCGGAAUCACUGGGCGUAAAGGGCGCGUAGGCGGAUGAUUAAGUCGGAGGUGAAAGCCCAGGGCUCAACCCUGGAAUUGCCUUCGAUACUGAUCGUCUCGAGAGCGGAAGAGGUUAGUGGAACUCCGAGUGUAGAGGUGAAAUUCGUAGAUAUUCGGAAGAACACCAGUGGCGAAGGCGACUGACUGGUCCGUUUCUGACGCUGAGGCGCGAAAGCGUGGGGAUCAAACAGG
rnacentral:rRNA from 1 species